GACGAACGCUGGCGGCGUGCCUAAUACAUGCAAGUUGAGCGCUGAAGGUUGGUACUUGUACCAACUGGAUGAGCAGCGAACGGGUGAGUAACGCGUGGGGAAUCUGCCUUUGAGCGGGGGACAACAUUUGGAAACGAAUGCUAAUACCGCAUAAAAACUUUAAACACAAGUUUUAAGUUUGAAAGAUGCAAUUGCAUCACUCAAAGAUGAUCCCGCGUUGUAUUAGCUAGUUGGUGAGGUAAAGGCUCACCAAGGCGAUGAUACAUAGCCGACCUGGGAGGGUGAUCGGCCACAUUGGGACUGAGACACGGCCCAAACUCCUACGGGAGGCAGCAGUAGGGAAUCUUCGGCAAGGGACGAAAGUCUGACCGAGCAACGCCGCGUGAGUGAAGAAGGUUGUCGGAUCGUAAAACUCUGUUGGUAGAGAAGAACGUUGGUGAGAGUGGAAAGCUCAUCAAGUGACGGUAACUACCCAGAAAGGGACGGCUAACUACGUG
rnacentral:rRNA from 1 species